rnacentral:rRNA from 1 species
AACGAACGCUGGCGGCAGGCUUAACACAUGCAAGUCGAACGCCCCGCAAGGGGAGUGGCAGACGGGUGAGUAACGCGUGGGAAUCUACCUAGUUCUACGGAACAACAGUUGGAAACGACUGCUAAUACCGUAUACGCCCUACGGGGGAAAGAUUUAUCGGAAUUAGAUGAGCCCGCGUAAGAUUAGCUAGUUGGUGAGGUAAUGGCUCACCAAGGCGACGAUCUUUAGCUGGUCUGAGAGGAUGAUCAGCCACACUGGGACUGAGACACGGCCCAGACUCCUACGGGAGGCAGCAGUGGGGAAUAUUGGACAAUGGGCGCAAGCCUGAUCCAGCCAUGCCGCGUGAGUGAUGAAGGCCUUAGGGUUGUAAAGCUCUUUCACCGAUGAAGAUAAUGACGGUAGUCGGAGAAGAAGCCCCGGCUAACUUCGUGCCAGCCGCCGCCGUAAUAC